GACGAACGCUGGCGGCGUGCUUAACACAUGCAAGUCGAACGAAGUGGCGAACGGGUGAGUAACGCGUAAUCAACCUGCCCUUCAGAGGGGGACAACAGUUGGAAACGACUGCUAAUACCGCAUACUGAAGGAGGGGAUUGCGUCGGAUUAGCUAGUUGGAGGGGUAACGGCCCACCAAGGCGGUGAUAAGUAGGCUGUCUGGGGGGAUGAACGGGCACAAUGGGACUGGGACACGGCUCCGACUCCUACGGGAGGGAGCAGGGGGGAAUCUUCCGCAAUGGAGGAAAGUCUGACGGAGCAACGCCGCGUGAGUGAUGACGGGCUUCGGGUUGGAAAGCUCUGUUAAUCGGGACGCGGUACCGGAAUAGAAAGCAACGGCUAACUACGUGCCAGCAGCCGCGGUAAUUC
rnacentral:rRNA from 1 species